rnacentral:rRNA from 1 species
CUCCCGGCACGGGGAGGUAGUGACGAAAAAUAACGAUACGGGACUCAUCCGAGGCCCCGUAAUCGGAAUGAGAACAAUUUAAAUCCUUUAACGAGGAUCAAUUGGAGGGCAAGUCUGGUGCCAGCAGCCGCGGUAAUUCCAGCUCCAAUAGCGUAUAUUAAAGUUGUUGCGGUUAAAAAGCUCGUAGUCGAAUUUGUGUUGCGGGCCGUCGGUUCGUCGCUCGCGGCGUUUAACCGGCGUGUUGCGCAACGUCCAGCCGGUGGCAGCGCCCCCCUCCGCGGUUGCUCUUUACCGAGUGUCGUGGCGGGCCGGCUAGUUUACUUUGAACAAAUUAGAGUGCUUAAAGCAGGCUAAAAUUUUGCCUGAAUACUUCGUGCAUGGAAUAAUGGAAUAGGACCUCGGUUCUAUUUUGUUGGUUUUCGGAACACCGAGGUAAUGAUUAAUAGGAACGGAUGGGGGCAUUCGUAUUGCGACGUUAGAGGUGAAAUUCUUGGAUCGUCGCAAGACGGACAGAAGCGAAAGCAUUUGCCAAAAACGUUUUCAUUGAUCAAGAACGAAAGUUAGAGGUUCGAAGGCGAUCAGAUACCGCCCUAGUUCUAACCAUAAACGAUGCCAGCUAGCGAUCCGCCGACGUUCCUCCGAUGACUCGGCGGGCAGCUUCCGGGAAACCAAAGCUUUUGGGUUCCGGGGGAAGUAUGGUUGCAAAGCUGAAACUUAAAGGAAUUGACGGAAGGGCACCACCAGGAGUGGAGCCUGCGGCUUAAUUUGACUCAACACGGGAAACCUCACCAGGCCCGGACACCGGAAGGAUUGACAGAUUGAGAGCUCUUUCUUGAUUCGGUGGGUGGUGGUGCAUGGCCGU